GUUGGUGAGUCGCAUGCUUUUCUGUUCCUCCGGUCUCCAAUCAUGUCGUAAGACGAAAGGUCCAAAUCGACACGGUUGACCGGUUGUAUACGUGGUAUUUGGCGAAUACAGUGACCGCGGGUAUGCAUUGAAUAGCAUAGUCGGUAGAGUUGCGUACGGAGACCAGCUGCGAGUGUCAUUAGUGUUGCGUAUAAAUGAAUCGCGACCGAUUUGUUUUGUAAAUUCACGCGUUUUGAAUUAGUAUUUCGUCAUAUGAAAAGCCCAAAAUUUGACACCACCACCACUUCAAGAAUCACCAAGCAGCCAAAGUGGCUGCCACUAUGAUUCUUCGCACCCUGAGAUGGCUGCACUGGAUUUUUAAUUAUGGAUUCGUAUUACUUGGUGCACGCGAUUUGUUCUUUAUAUACGUAAUAGAUUAGCGUUUCGAAUAAUGAUGGACCUCGCGAUUGCUUUUGAUUACUACUUUUCGCGUUUUCUUUCAGGGUAGUGUUGCGAAUAACUAUGAAUCGCGUUUGCUAUUAGUGUUGCGUCUGAUAAAUCGCGUCCGUUUUGGUACCUUGGUUUGGUAACUUGGUACUUUUAGUUAGGGCUAGAACGAAAAAAGAAGACCAUCUACGGAUUGUUUUGCUAUAUUUGAAGAACAGAGAAUAAUAUACGUUUCUUCUGUUGCAGACAUCAUCAUGGAGUUAAUACAGGGUGGCCAGGGUGUGGUUUUUGUCUUGGCCAGCCAAUUUGGGUCUCUAUAUACAGUAACCUCCACGUGGUGAGACCCGGACCGUCUACAUUAUUUGAAGUAUGUAAUUGCUAACUGCACAUCGCCAGUAAGGGUCAGAUGACAUUAUCAAUUCCAUACCAAGUAAUAUGAGCUACUGGCUGGAAUCUUUCUCAUUUACAAGUAAAUGAAAAUAUGGUAACUUGCAAUUAGAAUCAACGCAUAUUGAUACUAUUAUUAUUAUAAAAGUCUAUAGUAUUAUAUAUAAGACAUAAUGAAUAAUUUUUAUUCAUAUUUUUAUUCAAGCUAUAUAAGUUAGGGAAUGUGCACCCGCAGUUCAAAGGAUUUUUGUCCUUUCAAAAAAUAUAAUUUUUGAAAUGACGGAAAUCUUUCAAAUUGCGUCUGCACUUUCUCUGAUCGGUACAUUACCAACAUGUCGGUAAAUACUGAGGAAGCGCCAUCUACCGGUGGCAGCUUCAAUUAUUUAACGACAAACUUGGGCAUUCUCCGGAUAGAGGCGCUAAUCAAACUUCGAAAAUAUAAAUGUAGCUCUCAGGAGCUGUAGCGAGUUUUUGUAAGCUACAGUACGGGCUUAGCAACCCCGAGGUACCCGAGUUAGAGAGGGGGGCCAGCGGACCCCUACAGAAUGUGUGGAACAAAUGUAUGAAGGAUUGUCGAUGCGAUUUGUAAAUGUACCUUGGGUCAAGAGACCUUGAAAAAUGUAAAAGAAAAGUGUAAAACAGUUCCGUACGGAACUACACUAUAAAUAAAUGAUAAAGAAAGAAUAUAAAUGCAUAUUAAUGCAGCUAACUUGGAGUUAUGAAAGAUACUAGAUUAAACAGAGAAUUAAAAAGCGUAUUUUUUUUUUUUUGUUGCUUGUUGGACCAAUUAGAAUAUAUAUAUCACAGAAAAUAAGAUAAGUAUAGGAAAUAGGAACCAGAUAGAAUGUAAGGAAAAUGAAAAGCAAGGACCAGAAGGUUUCUAAAGAUAGAGAGAAAUGAGAUAAGGGCGUACUUUGUAUAUAGUAGUUUUUAUUCGAAGAAACAAAAUAUGUUAAGUUCUAGGGAUGUAACAUAAGUGUAAGCAGCCUCAUCCUGUACAAUAGUAUUUAACAAGAGUUAUAUAUUAGAGUAGUUUUAAGAGAAUAGUUGUAAUACCUCGAAAAUGCGCUAAAUCGACAAUAGGAUCGAUUAAAUUAAAAAAUGUAUUGUUAAAAACACUAGUGUAAGACAUUGAAUGUAAUCUAGGUUAUAAGAAUACGUAAACAUAUUUUUGGGUCAAGAGACCAUAUUUUAUUGUACAAGAAAAGUGAACUUUUCACAGGGACUUUAUUUUAUACUAUGUAGAGAUGAACUAGUAUUUACAAAAAUGUGUAAUUAUGUUUAUAUGGGAUACAAUUCGAUUAGUCAAUAUUCA